GUCCCCACCAGUGGGCGCCGACGCUCCCCGCGUAGUGCCCCAACUGGAGCGUCACCACCUCGCGGGCCGCCGACAUCGCUUUCUAUGUCGCUCCCGGCCCGUGGCGGGAGGGGAAAGAAAGGGGGGCGGCCGUUAGGGCGCAGCGGGUGGAGGAGACGGCGCGCGCGUGCGCGGAGGCGCGAGCAAUGCCGUAGGGGUGCUUAGAACGCAGCAAGCAACCGCAGCAGCGCGCAGCCGGAAGUUGGGCGGAGCGUGGAGCUCGAGAGCCCACUCUUGGCAAACGUCGCCUGAGGCGGUAAAUAUCAGGUUGGGAAGACAGACUUCCGGUGAAAAUGGAAAGACCGCCAUCUUGGAGGCAGAGUGGCGUCGCUCCAUCCAUUAGCAUCUCUAUGAUCCUGUACCACUUGACGGAAAUCAAUACAGCGUUAAAAAAAGGUCCAGGAGCAGUAUACCCCUGAAUACCAGAAGCUGGAGACAAAGAAAAAAGGCUGUUGCUUUUGAAUCCUGCUAUUGGGAUUCCCAAAGGCCACCAAGGAUGAGGACCCUCAGGCCCAGGUGCCCUCCAUGCCUCUCUACCUGGCUCCUCUCACCACUACCGUCACAAACCCUGCCUUCCACUCUCCUUGAGUGUUUUUGCCUGGCCAGAAUGUGCCCUAGAACUUUGAGAAAGCCUCUUACUUGCCCAGAUGAAGGACAGAGAAGGAUGCCGGAAUCUGUGUAGAAACCAGCCUCCCAGACAAAGGUAAAAAAAUAAAAUAAAUCAAGGA